UAGUCCACGCCGUAAACGAUGUUCACUCGCUGUCUGCGAUACACAGUAGGCGGCUGAGCGAAAGCAUUAAGUGAACCACCUGGGGAGUACGAUCGCAAGGUUGAAACUCAAAGGAAUUGACGGGGGCCCGCACAAGCGGAGGAACAUGUGGUUUAAUUCGAUGAUACGCGAGGAACCUUACCUGGGCUUAAAUGUAGAUUGCAUAGAGUAGAAAUAUUCUUUCCCUUCGGGGGCUAUUUACAAGGUGCUGCAUGGUUGUCGUUCAGCUCGUGCCGUGAGGUGUCGGGUUAAGUCCCGCAACGAGCGCAACCCCUAUCUUCAGUUGCCAGCAGGUUGAGCUGGGGGACUCUGGAGAGACUGCCUCCGUAAGGAGUGAGGAAGGUGGGGGAUGACGUCAAAUCAUCAUGGCCUUUAUGCCCAGGGCUACACACGUGCUACAAUGGCCAGUACAGAGGGUUGCGUAAACUGACGAGUUGAGCUGAUCUCAGAAAGCGUC
rnacentral:rRNA from 1 species